CCCUUAGACGUUCUGGGCCGCACGCGCGCUACACUGACCAGUGCAACAAGCAUCCGUCCUUGGCCGACAGGCCCGGGCAAUCUUUUAACGCUGGUCGUGAUGGGGAUAGACUUUUGCAAUUUUUGGUCUUCAACGAGGAAUUCCUAGUAAACGCAAGUCAUCAACUUGCAUUGAUUACGUCCCUGCCCUUUGUACACACCGCCCGUCGCACCUACCGAUUGAAUGGUCCGGUGAAGCCUCCGGAUUGGCGCGCACCUCGGUGCCGCCGAGAAGUUGGCUAAACCUUACCAUUUAGAGGAAGGUGAAGUCGUAACA
rnacentral:rRNA from 1 species